GACGAACGCUGGCGGCGUGGAUUAGGCAUGCAAGUCGAACGGUAUCAUCCUUUCGGGGGUGAGAGAGUGGCGAACUGGUGAGUAACACGUAGGUUAUCUACCCUCAAGACGGGGACAACCCAGGGAAACUUGGGCUAAUACCGGAUGUGAGCAACUUUUAGUUGUUUGAAAGGUGGCGUAAGCUGUCGCUUGGGGAUGAGCCUGCGUCCUAUUAGUUAGUUGGUGAGGUAACGGCUCACCUAGGCAAUGAUAGGUAGGCGGCCUUAACGGGUGGCCGCCCACACUGGGAUUGAGAUACGGCCCAGACUCCUACGGGAGGCAGCAGUCGAGAAUAGUCUACAAUGGUCGGAAGACUGAUAGUGCGACGCCGCGUGAACGAUGAAUCCCUUCGGGGUGUAAAGUUCUUUUAUAUGUGAGCAGUGCUUCUUAUAUUAACAGUAUGGGGAAGAGAUAUUAGCAUAUGAAUAAGCAACGGCUAACUCCGUGCCAGCAGCCGCGGUAAUA
rnacentral:rRNA from 1 species